ACAGUAGCAGAUGGGUCUACUCUGCCUUCUUGGUGAAUUCCAGAAACAACAUGAGUCAGUGCUACAAGCAGGUGAUAAUUGAACGACAUAAUCAACUUAAGAGAGAAUAUUAAGCAGAGCCCUUGAUGGUGUAGGCACAUAACUUCAAAAAGGAAAUGUUCACCACCAAACCUUCCAGCCUGUUGGCACACACCAUCCAC